rnacentral:sRNA from 1 species
AAUGCCAUUUCUGCAGAAGUGGAGCAGAUCACAGGCAGUGACAACGCCCAUCCUUUUGGCCACACUGGGGUUUGGGAAGAGUUUCUUGUAACAGUAUUUGUAUCAUUUUGUCUGUGUUGGCUCCAAAUGCUGCUGGGAUCCUGACCUUCCACUCUGUCUCCUUGUACUACAGGAAGACCCUGUUCCCAAUGGCCUCCGGGCACUCCCAGUAUUCUAUGCUGCUACCAUAGCAAUCAAUGUCUUUUCCAUCAUGUACACAGGAGCACCAGUGCUCGGCCUGGUUCUCCCCAUGUGGGCCAUAGCCCUCAUUUCCUUUGGUGUCGCCCUCCUGUUCGCUUUUUUUGUGUGGCUCUUCGUGUGUCCGUGGAUGCGGAGGAAAAUAACAGGCAAAUUACAAAAAGAAGGUGCUUUAUCACGAGUAUCUGACGAAAGCCUCAGUAAGGUUCAGGAAGCAGAGUCCCCAGUAUUUAAAGAGCUACCAGGUGCCAAGGCUAAUGAUGACAGCACCAUCCCGCUCACGGGAGCAGCAGGGGAGACAUCGGGGACCUUGGAAGGCACUUCUGCGGGCAGCCA